UACGGAGGGUGCAAACGUUGCUCGGAAUCAUUGGGCGUAAAGCGCACGUAGGCGGUCCGACAAGUCGGGUGUGAAAGCCCUCGGCUUAACCGAGGAAGUGCAUUCGAAACUAUCGGACUUGAAUACUGAAGAGGGUCUCGGAAUUCCCGGUGUAGAGGUGAAAUUCGUAGAUAUCGGGAGGAACACCAGUGGCGAAGGCGGCUCACUGGCCCGGUACGUGACGCUGAGGCGCGAAAGCGUGGGGAGCAAACAGGG
rnacentral:rRNA from 1 species